AUACGGAGGGUGCAAGCGUUACUCGGAAUCACUGGGCGUAAAGCGCGCGCAGGCGGCUAUUUAAGUUGGAUGUGAAAGCCUACGGCUCAACCGUAGAACUGCAUCCAAAACUAUUUAGCUAGAGUGUGGGAGAGGAAGAUGGAAUUAGUUGUGUAGGGGUAAAAUCCGUAGAGAUACCUAGGAAUACCAAAAGCGAAGGCAAUCUUCUGGAACACUACUGACGCUGAGGCGCGAAAGCGUGGGGAGCAAACGGGAUUAGAAACCCUAGUAGUCC
rnacentral:rRNA from 1 species